rnacentral:rRNA from 1 species
AUUGAACGCUGGCGGCAUGCUUUACACAUGCAAGUCGAGCGGCAGCGCGGGGGCAACCCUGGCGGCGAGCGGCGAACGGGUGAGUAACGCAUCGGAACGUAUCCUGUAGUGGGGAAUAACUCAUCGAAAGGUGAGCUAAUACCGCAUAAGCUCUGAGGAGGAAAGCGGGGGACCGAAAGGCCUCGCGCUGCAGGAGCGGCCGAUGUCCGAUUAGCUAGUUGGUGAGGUAAAGGCUCACCAAGGCGACGAUCGGUAGCUGGUCUGAGAGGAUGAUCAGCCACACUGGGACUGAGACACGGCCCAGACUCCUACGGGAGGCAGCAGUGGGGGAAUUUUGGACAAUGGGGGAAACCCUGAUCCAGCCAUGCCGCGUGAGUGAAGAAGGCCUCGGUUGUAAGCUCUUUCGGUACGGAACGAAAUUAGCUUGGAUUAAUACUCUGAGUAGAUGACGGUACCGUAAGAAUAAG